AGUUUGAUCCUGGCUCAGAACGAACGCUGGCGGCAGGCCUAACACAUGCAAGUCGAGCGCUACCUUCGGGUGGAGCGGCGGACGGGUUAGUAACGCGUGGGAAUAUACCCUUCUCUACGGAAUAGCCUCGGGAAACUGAGAGUAAUACCGUAUACGCCCUUCGGGGGAAAGAUUUAUCGGAGAUGGAUUAGCCCGCGUAAGAUUAGAUAGUUGGUGGGGUAAUGGCCUACCAAGUCUACGAUCUUUAGCUGGUUUUAGAGGAUGAUCAGCAACACUGGGACUGAGACACGGCCCAGACUCCUACGGGAGGCAGCAGUGGGGAAUCUUAGACAAUGGGCGAAAGCCUGAUCUAGCCAUGCCGCGUGAGUGAUGAAGGCCUUAGGGUCGUAAAGCUCUUUCGCCAGGGAUGAUAAUGACAGUACCUGGUAAAGAAGCCCCGGCUAACUCCGUGCCAGCAGCCGCGGUAAU
rnacentral:rRNA from 1 species